UACAGAGGUUGCAAGCGUUAAUCGGAAUUACUGGGCGUAAAGCGCGCGCAGGCGGUCUUCCAAGUCAGUGGUGAAAGCCCGGAGCUCAACUCCGGAACUGCCAUUGAAACUGUUAGACUUGAGGACGAGAGAGGUGAGUGGAAUUCCCAGUGUAGAGGUGAAAUUCGUAAAUAUUGGGAAGAACACCGGUGGCGAAGGCGGCUCACUGGCUCGUAUCUGACGCUCAGGCGCGAUAGCGUGGGGAUCAAACAGG
rnacentral:rRNA from 1 species